CCGGGCCGCACGAACCGGCAACACGUUACACGAGAUGCUCCCAUGGCCGCAAUCAUAUUUCGCGAUUCCAUAGAAUUACAAGGCCACCGCGUCGCGCAUCGGUAUAGAAAAUUAUCUACAAGCAUUACUUUCCGGUGGAGCGUUAUCCAGUGUCUCUAUAGGGUGUCCCAUUUCACGUUUCAUAUUUAUUUUCCGAACUAUAACUGGUGAACUUGGUUCCCCUUUUAAGUUGGUAAUUCAAAUAGAGCACAGUGUAAAUAAAAUAUUCAGGACAAUUAUAACAAUAGAUAAUACGUGUAAUUGUUUCACGAACUACUAUGCAUUGUCUCCACUUUGUCGUUCAUCAUUAGAGAUGGGGUCUUUAUCCAAACAGGGAAUUUGGAACCGUUAUUUUUAAUGUAUAAUUGUGUAUGACAUAUAUGGAUAUCAGGCCGAGACGAUUUAAAGCGUUGUAAAUCCGGCGGAAAGGACGGUAAAUCGCACGCUGGAACCAACCUCCGUGUAACCACUAUCCGUGACACCCGACGCCCACGCGUUUGUCAUUCGGGGGACCAGUUAAUUGGUCUUUCAUGAGCGCGCAGUGAUUUGAGGUUGAUAUAGUGCGCGGAGAAUUGAGUGCGGAUCACGUAAUGGAGAACGUUAGUGUAAUUGAAUCAAAAACUUUUCAAAAAUCGCUUGUGUAGGAUAUAAUUUGUAUGGUGCAUUGGAUACUUCAUUCUUAAUAGUUCCAGAAUAUCGUGUAAAAGAGGCAACGGGCAAUAGUCAUAAAUUAAUAGCGAGAGUUAUAUACGGCGGUAUGGAACCGUAUAAUAGAUAUUGGCUAGGCAUUGAUAAAAGGAUAUGUAGUAUAUGUGAAAGAGGAUGGAAAACGUUGAAACACUGGUUAGAGGAUUGCGACGACUUACAAAAGAGGAGAAUUCUCUAUUAUGGAAAUAUUAGAGGAUAGAAAAAGGAGAGGAACGUAUGUUAUACUGUUUCAGAAUGUUAAAGAAAGACCAUGAAAAUAAUAUAAAUUAUAUUUUUCGUUAGUGUCCGUAGACAUGGAGGAAUGAACGAUGAAACUUUUCAAGAUAUAAACCAAGUCCUAUUCGUGGGUCGAUAAGGCUAGAAUAAGUACUAUAGUACGAAAUUAUUAUUUCUGCAAUAAAUAAUGACAUCAAUUAAUACGAUACGAGCACAUAAAUUAUGGGAUAUAUAAAAAACGGGGAUUUUAGUAUGUGAAUACAUCAGAAUUGCGUGAGAUAUCUUUCUUUAAAUUGCAUGAGAGGGUUAAGCCUUGAAAUAAAUAUACAAAGUGUAUGUAAGUACGAAUUUGGGUUUCACGAGGAUUACAGUACCGAUAAUCUCAUUGAGCAAAGUUGCUUAACGAAAAGAAUUGUACCCCUCCCAUUUAUCUUUAACAUGAUAAAAAUGUACAUUUAUAAAAAUUAAUGUCAAAUUAAUUAAUGUUAUAUUAUUUAAUAGAAUAUAUUUCCCGAAGCUUUUAUAAAUAGGCUGAAGUUGUGCAGAAUAAAACAUUUAACGUGAAAUCAAAAUUAGAUUCUUGCACAUUAAAUUCUUUAUACUUAUUGCACACUUAAUCUUUAUACACGUAUAAAUGCAAUGAAUCCACAAUUUAUUUACAGUUGUUCAGGGUUAAUAAUAAAGACUCUGUACAGAUAUCAAUUACGAAUCGUUUGUUGUAUUGAUCUUCAAAUUUUUAUGGAAUUCAACAAUUUCCUCUGAAUGCAUAAAAUGAUACUGAAUACAGAGAAUAAAAAAUUGAGAAGAGGGUGAGUAAGAUUAAAACCACGGCGGUGUGCAACACAUCGUAUCAUUCACUGCCUCGCGCUUCAGCUUGGCGAAUAAUUUUGUGCGCGGAAACCAAUUCAUUUUUUCGUCAGGAUGAGAUAUUGUACGUCGUCGCUGCGAAAGGAAAAGUACGGCCGGUACAUAUCUUCUGUACUCAGUGCGACCUAUAUACCAUUCGCGUUCAGAAAAGGGCCGCUCGGUGUACAUACGUACGUGCAUAUAUCUUCGUGACGAGGACGACGACGGCAAUGAAAAGAAAAUUGCAGAGCACACCUAGGUUCUGACGUACACCCUGGUCCAUAAGUCUUAAGACGAAGUAUGCAGCUGAAUGAAAUUUCGUAUGCAUAUAUUUAAACAAAUUGGACGUCGCACAAUGUGAAACAUAUAACUAAAUGAAAUGUUAUAUCCACAUAUUUAAAUAAAUUGCAUGUACAUGAGACAAUGUCGUAGUUGAAUAAGUUGUUACAUGAAAUAUAUUGUUGCACAUAUCAUAUUCUAAUGAACGGAUAUAUGUAUAAAAAAAAAUUUUCUAUUUUAAAUGUAACAGUAUACACAUGAGAUAAA